rnacentral:tRNA from 1 species
GAGGGUAUAGCUCAAGUGGUAGAGCACAUGCUUAGCAUGCACGAGGUUCCAGGUUCAAUCCCUAGUACCUCCU